rnacentral:rRNA from 1 species
CCUCUGCCCUAUGAAUAGUUUAAAUGGCCGCAGUACUUUGACUGUGCAAAGGUAGCAUAAUCACUUGUCUUUUAAUUGGGGACUGGAAUGAAGGAGGCGACGAAAUUUAGGCUAUUUGGUUAUAAGAUAAAAUUAACAUAAAGGUCAAAAGGCUUUUAUAAACCAAAGGGACGAUAAGACCCUAUAAAACUUUACUAUACAAUAGAUUACCAAGGUAAGAUUUAAAUUAUAGUUUAACUGGGGCGGUUUGUAUAAAAACAAUAGUAAUGUUAAUAUUUUUAAUAGACCUAGAGAGCUCUAAUAGGAAAAGAACAAGUUACUUUAGGGAUAACAGCAUAAUUCUCCCAGAGAGUCCUAAUUGGCGGGAGAGCUUAUGACCUCGAUGUUGAAUUGGGAUAUCUAAUGUAAGUAGAAGUAUAUUAAGACAGUCUGUUCGACUAUUAAACUCCC